rnacentral:tRNA from 1 species
GAGAUUGUGGUGAAGUGGUUAACACGCUGGCUUGUGGCGCCAGUAUGCGCGGGUUCGAACCCCGUCAGUCUCCCCA